UACCAGAGAGCUGCCCCCAGAGCCUGUGGGUGUUUGGGGGUGCGCAGCAGACUGGAAAUCGCAACUGUAUCCAAAAUGUACAGGUGGCAGACAGUAACCCUCGCUGGAAUACUGUAGAAACAAAUGGGACACCCGCGAGUCCCAGGACAUACCACACCACCUCAGCCUGCCUUGGAGACAGGCUUUUUGUGUUCUCUGGUGGGGAAAUAGGAUCUGCACCUGUCUCUGACUCCAAACUUCAUGUGUUUGAUACAGUUUCUUCUACUUGGUCCCAACCUGAAACACAAGGCAGGCACCCUCCAGCCAGACAUGGUCACAUCAUUGUAGCGGUGGAUUCAAAGAUCUAUAUUCAUGGGGGCAUGGCUGGAGACAAAUUCCACAACGAUAUGUAUUCUCUUGAUUCAAGUAAGACUGUCCACAUCUGUGAUUCACAAAGGAAGCACUUUGUAUUUCAACACACAUGCAUCAUACAUGUUCAGAGUAUCACUGCAUUGCACUGGGAUGAUAUAAAAAUAUCUGUUAAAUUAUCUUUAAAGGGAACGUGAAGUGGGAGAAAGUGCAGGCCAAAGGAGAUAUUCCACCAGGAGUAGCUGCCCACUCAGCUGUUGUGCUGGGCAAAAAUAUCUACAUCUUUGGAGGGAUGACAGCAGAUGGAGCAAGCAACUCCAUGUACAGAUUUAACACUGACAAAUGUAGAUGGCUCCUAAUGAAAUUCAAAGGAGCUCUGCCACCAAAGCGUCUUGACCACUCCAUGUGUAUAUUUCCCUGGACAGUGUGUGAUGAUGGGAAUCCAGAGGAGGAAGCCAACGGACCAGCACCCCCUGAGGC